rnacentral:lncRNA from 1 species
GUAUGGUCAGGCGGGAUCAUCUGCCAGCUGGAGGUCUCAGGACUGUGGAAAACCAUGUAUUCUAGCAGUAUAUUCUCUGGCCCAGCCGACCAUUACUAUCUUCAUAACGCUUAUGAAACUGUGCCUUCUCUAAGGCCAUUCACAGCUCUCGACUGGGCUAUCCUUCUUUGCCCUCUGUGCAUAAUUUCAUGCUUAUUUGAUCUCCCCAACCUCUGCACUGACCUGGCUUCUUGUGUUAUAUCCUAAACAACUUGUUCUUGGUUUCAUCCACUCAGUUCUCUGGAUCAGCCAGCUUCACACAGAAGUGACAGCACUUCUGAAAUCCCCUCUUAGUCACUUUUGUAACUUCAACCUCUGCUAAAGGUAGACACUCACUCUAUAGACCAGGCCUUGAGCUCAAAGAUCCACCUGCCUCUGCCCCCUGGCCCCCUCCACCUCCCCACGAGUGCUGGGACUAAAGGUGUGAACCACCACCACCACCACCACCACCACCCAGCUCCCUUGUUUUCUUAACAUUGAUCUAUUUAUAACUAGAGUGAGCAAAGCAGUGGUGGUGCACAACUUUAAUCCCACCACUCAGGAGGCAGAGGCAGGUGGAGCUCUGUGAUUUCGAGGCCAGCCUGGUCUACAAUAUGAGUUCCAGGACAGCCAGGGAUACACAGAGAAACCCUGCCUCAAAAAGAAAAUCAAAUAAACCCCCACAGAGUUACACCUUAUCCACUGCCCAAUGUCCUGCCAUUGGUUCCCAGACCAGAGCCUAGAGCCUGAAAUGGUCAUAUGCUCAGGCCCCAUUGCAAAGGACAGUGGGAAGGCACCUGCUUGUCUAACCUCUGGGGUGGCAAAGCUCGGGAGGGACUCCUCCUUAGGCAGCAGAGAUGCUCACUGGUGUGGGCUGUGCACACUCUGGUUUUCUUUCCUCUAAACUUGUGGGCCCCCAGGUUCAAGCUUUUAAUUUUCAGGUUUGCAUAUCUAUAAGUGCCUCCGUGUAUCUAUGUGGACCACAUGUAUGCCUGGUGCCUGUGGAAAUGAGAAGAAAGCAUUGAAUCCCCUCAAAAAGUGUUCUUAACCCCUUAGCCAUCUCUCCAGCCCCAGGUUCAAAUCCUGAGCACCGUCUGAACUAGUCCUGUGUCCAAGACAGUAUCAUCAAACCCUGCCCUUCCCGCCUUGUGCCAGCUCGCGCUUUUUCUUACAUCUGUAUGUUGAUGCUUAGCAGGUUCCUUGAAUGCUUGGUUUAUGUGCCUGGCUGGAGGAGACACCCAUGGCCUUGCAGAGGGAGCGUUCUGGUGGGAAAGCAGACACAACCCACCCUAGGCCCGUGGUUUCCCUGCAAGAAGCCCAGUGGCUUUCUGGAGGACACUUUUCCUGGAGGAAGUGACUCAAGAGCAGCAUAAGCCAGGCUCUAUGGAAUGUUGGGUGAGCUGCUUGAGGAACUCCAAGGCCUGUCCCACAGUCUUCCAGCCUCCGACUCUCCGGCCCUCAGCGAGGAAGUCCCACUGGUUUUUUUGGUUGGUUUUUUUUUUUUUUUUUAAGGUUUUUUGGUUUUUUUUUUUUUUUCUCAUUCCUGUCUUGGGAGCUUUCCCCAACCAGGAGAGUGAAGAUGGGCGGAGCUGUCACACCAACUGUUAGCCUGCCUUGGCUGAGAGGAGAGGAGGCGAGGAGGGAGCGACCACCCAGCUUUAGUCGUUUUAAAACAGCUCCUGACCCUAGAAGAAGGGAAAUGGAGAUGAAGACCCAAUUGACUUGGCUUCCCUCCCUCCCAGUGCUGAUUUCCUGUGGACCAGAUUCCAGCACAGUGGAGGGCCAGAGCUCAGGGAACAGACCCAGCAGCACAGCAAGUCUCCAAGGAAAGCUCUAGCAGUCUCCAGGGGCUGAAGGCAGGACUGGGGAAGCGGCUAGCCAGGCUGCAGAAGGCAAAUGCUCCCAGACGGCUGUCCAGCACGCAUCCGCCUUCCUAGCCAAGUUUCCUGGGCUCCUGCCACAGAUCUAAGCCUCAUCCUGACAUCCUGCCCUCUGUGCUCUGGGAUGGCCCAGGGGAGAUGCUUAGCCUUGGCUCCUUGUCUGCUGGUGGAGGGGACACACACCCUUUCUGGACCACAGACCAAAAAGAAGACCUGACGUCAUCCUGAGCACCCCCGCCAUGCAGAGUGUGUUCGCAGACUGCCAACGGGCUGGCUCCGGCCAGCAGAAGUGAACAGAGGUGGAGGUUCAGCCUGACAGCUUCUCCCCAAAGCCAUGGAGAGAAAACCUUACCACCCCCACCGCCCAGCUACUUCCAGCAAGUUGUCCAGCCUGACCCCUCUAUUUCCCCUGUUGUCUCUUAUCUGGGUCCCUGAGACCCACCCCAUCUCCAAUAAAGAACAUUGCAUACUGUGCAUCCACUACUGAACAACAUAGUCACACCAGGCAGGGCUCCCUAAAGCCUACCUGCAUGGCCAGCGUGGUCCGAGGACAGUGUGCUCUCCCCACCCUGUCUGCUAGCCUCCAGCUUCAUGGGAACUCCAUUAAUCAUGGGAUUCCGAGAUCAUCAGAGCAAUAGGAUCACUCCGUCUCCAGGGGAGCACAAGGCAAGAGCCAGAGCGGGACUGUUCUUCAGUCAAGGGGCAGGGGUUGCUGCCUCU